rnacentral:rRNA from 1 species
UUUGAUUCUGGCUCAGAUUGAACGCUGGCGGGAUGCUUUACACAUGCAAGUCGAACGGCAGCACGGACUUCGGUCUGGUGGCGAGUGGCGAACGGGUGAGUAAUGUAUCGGAACGUGCCUGUGUGAAGGAUAACUACGCGAAAGCGUAGCUAAUACCACAUACGCCCUUCGAAGAAGCAGGGGACCUUCGGGCCACUCGCACUAUUGAAGCAGCCGAUAUCGGAUUAGCUAGUUGGGUGAGUGCUGGCUGCAAGGCGACGAUCGUAGCUGGUUUGAGAGGACGUCAUGCCACUGGGGACUGAACGGCCAGACUCUACAGGAGGCAGCAGUGGGAAUUUUGGACAAUGGGGAAACCCACAGUCAGCCAUCCCGCGUGUGCGAUGAAGGCCUUCGGGUUGUAAAGCACUUUUGGCAGGAAAGAAACGGCACGGGAUAAUACCCCGUGCAGCUGACGGUACCUGCAGAAUAAGCGCCGGCUAACUACGUGCCAGCAGCGCGAUAUGCGUAGGGUGCAAACGGCAUUAAUCAGGAAUUACUGGGCGUAAAGCGUGCGCAGGCGGUUCGGAAAGAAGAUCGUGAAAUCCCAGAGCUUAACUUUGGAACUGCAUUUUUUUUAACUGCCGAGCUAGAGUGUAUUAAGGGGAGGUGGAAUUCCGUGUAGCAGUGAAAUGCGUAGAUAUGCGGAGGAACACCGAUGGCGAAGGCAGCCUCUGGUUAACACUGACGCUCAUGCACGAAAGCGUGGGGAGCAAACAGGAUUAGAUACCCUGAAGUCCACGCCUAAACGAUGUCAACCUAAGCUGUUGGGGCCUUCGGGCCUUGGUAGCGCAGCUAACGCGUGAAAGUUGACCGCCUGGGGAAGUACGGUCGCAAGAUUAAAACUCAAGGAAUUGACGGGGACCCGCACAAGCGGUGGAUGAUGUGGAUUAAUUCGAUGCAACGCGAAAAACCUUACCUACCCUUGACAUGGAUGGAAUCCCGAAGAAAUUUGGGAGUGCUCGAAGAGAACCAUCACACAGGUGCUGCAUGGCUGUCGUCAGCUCGUGUCGUGAGAUGUUGGGUUAAGUCCACCAACGAGCGCAACCCUUGUCAUUAGUUGCUACGAAAGGGCACUCUAAUGAGACUGCCGGUGACAAACCGGAGGAAGGUGGGGAUGACGUCAAGUCCUCAUGGCCCUUAUGGGUAGGGCUUCACACGUCAUACAAUGGUACAUACAGAGGGCCGCCAACCCGCAGGGGGGAGCUAAUCCCAGAAAGUGUAUCGUAGUCAGAUUGGAGUCUGCAACUCGACUCCAUGAAGUUGGAAUCGCUAGUAAUCGCCGGAUCAGCAUGUCGCGGUGAAUACGUUCCCGGGUCUUGUACCUGCCCGUCACACCAUGGGAGCGGGUUUACCAGAAGUGGGUAGCCUAACCUGCGGAGAGCAUACCACGGUAGGAUUCGUGACUGGGGUGAAAUUAAUAAUAAGGUAAUACGUA